rnacentral:miRNA from 1 species
GUAUGUAUGUAUGUAUGUAUGUAUGUAUACAUACAUACAUACAUACAUACAUAC